GACGAACGCUGGCGGCGUGCCUAAUACAUGCAAGUAGAACGUACAGUUUAUACCGUAGCUUGCUACACCAUAAACUGUGAGUUGCGAACGGGUGAGUAACGCGUAGGUAACCUGCCUGGUAGCGGGGGAUAACUAUUGGAAACGAUAGCUAAUACCGCAUAAUAUUGAUUAUUGCAUGAUAAUUGAUUGAAAGAUGCUAUUGCAUCACUACCAGAUGGACCUGCGUUGUAUUAGCUAGUAGGUGAGGUAACGGCUCACCUAGGCGACGAUACAUAGCCGACCUGAGAGGGUGAUCGGCCACACUGGGACUGAGACACGGCCCAGACUCCUACGGGAGGCAGCAGUAGGGAAUCUUCGGCAAGGGACGAAAGUCUGACCGAGCAACGCCGCGUGAGUGAAGAAGGUUGUCGGAUCGUAAAGCUCUGUUGUAAGAGAAGAACGGGUGUGAGAGUGGAAAGUUCACACUGUGACGGUAUCUUACCAGAAAGGGACGGCUAACUACGUG
rnacentral:rRNA from 1 species